UACGUAGGGUGCAAGCGUUGUCCGGAAUUAUUGGGCGUAAAGAGCUCGUAGGCGGUCUGUUGCGUCGGCUGUGAAAACCCGGGGCUCAACCCCGGGCCUGCAGCCGAUACGGGCAGACUAGAGUUCGGCAGGGGAGACUGGAAUUCCUGGUGUAGCGGUGAAAUGCGCAGAUAUCAGGAGGAACACCGGUGGCGAAGGCGGGUCUCUGGGCCGAUACUGGCGCUGAGGAGCGAAAGCAUGGGUAGCGAACAGG
rnacentral:rRNA from 1 species